CAGGUUUUUCUCCAGCCCACGCGAUUCCCGUUCAAGCCCGCAGCAGAGGCAGGAGGCCAUAAAUAACCCUAGCAGCAGCUCGUGCAGACGCCAGAUCGAUUCCUUUUUCGCCCCCAAUCCAUUCCCCACCAGAAUCCGUCAAGCCGGAGGCGGAGGAGGAAGGAGAUCGAGCGGAGGCGACGCAGCCGGAGAUGAAGACUUUCGACCCGUGGCCGGUGUUCUUCCGCCGGGAGUGGCGCCGCAACUGGCCCUUCCUCACCGGCUUCGCCAUCACCGGUUUCCUCAUCACCAAGAUGACGGCCAACUUCACCGAGGAGGACCUCAAGAACUCCAAGUUCGUCCAGGAGCACAAGAAGCACUGAUGGGACCAGGUGGAGUUGUCCAUGUUGCCUAGGUGGCCAGCCAAUUCUGUUGUUCUGUUUGAAUGAAAUUAGUCCACCUUCCUUUUCUCUCCUUUUUCAUCCAAAUGCGUGCACUCUAUGCUCCGUUUGUAAUGUAAUAAGAGGCAAAUGAAUUGUUGAACCAGAAAAAAAUCAGCUUCUGAUUGUAAUACUCCCAAGUUUGAUGAGGUUUCCUGACUUAUAUCUGGGACAUGUGCGCAUGCACUCACUCUAUAUCCUUUUGACUACUUAAUUAGAAAACUAUUGAAGA